rnacentral:rRNA from 1 species
UGGGGAAUUUUGGACAAUGGGGGAAACCCUGAUCCAGCCAUCCCGCGUGUGCGAUGAAGGCCUUAGGGUUGUAAAGCACUUUUGGCAGGAAAGAAACGUCAUGGGUUAAUACCCCGUGAAACUGACGGUACCUGCAGAAUAAGCACCGGCUAACUACGUGCCAGCAGCCGCGGUAAUACGUAGGGUGCAAGCGUUAAUCGGAAUUACUGGGCGUAAAGCGUGCGCAGGCGGUUCGGAAAGAAAGAUGUGAAAUCCCAGAGCUCAACUUUGGAACUGCAUUUUUAACUACCGGGCUAGAGUGUGUCAGAGGGAGGUGGAAUUCCGCGUGUAGCAGUGAAAUGCGUAGGUAUGCGGAGGAACACCGAUGGCGAAGGCAGCCUCCUGGGAUAACACUGACGCUCAUGCACGAAAGCGUGGGGAGCAAACAGG